AUUGAACGCUGGCGGCAGGCCUAACACAUGCAAGUCGAGCGGAUGAAGGGAGCUUGCUCCUGGAUUCAGCGGCGGACGGGUGAGUAAUGCCUAGGAAUCUGCCUGGUAGUGGGGGAUAACGUCCGGAAACGGGCGCUAAUACCGCAUACGUCCUGAGGGAGAAAGUGGGGGAUCUUCGGACCUCACGCUAUCAGAUGAGCCUAGGUCGGAUUAGCUAGUUGGUGGGGUAAAGGCCUACCAAGGCGACGAUCCGUAACUGGUCUGAGAGGAUGAUCAGUCACACUGGAACUGAGACACGGUCCAGACUCCUACGGGAGGCAGCAGUGGGGAAUAUUGGACAAUGGGCGAAAGCCUGAUCCAGCCAUGCCGCGUGUGUGGAGAAGGUCUUCGGAUUGUAAAGCACUUUAAGUUGGGAGGAAGGGCAGUAAGUUGAUACCUUGCUGUUUUGACGUUACCAACAGAAUAAGCACCGGCUAACUUCGUG
rnacentral:rRNA from 1 species